GUGAGAGACCUACCCACUUUACAAAAUCACACUCAAAAUAAAGCUGAUUCUGUUAAACCCCUGGUUUUGGAAGCAAAUCAGUCCAGUAAUGGUUCAAUUGUCAGUGAGGUACCAUGCACUGCAAAUAAUCACACUCAAAAUAUGCAGAAUUCUAAUAAAGAUCAUGCAUUGAAGCCAAAUCAAACCACAAUUUCAGCUCCAAUAAGUACUCAGCCUGCAAAUCAGAGUGCAAAUUCAUCCACGAUUACAGUCUCACCGGUGUCGGCAAAUCAGA
rnacentral:misc_RNA from 1 species